rnacentral:sRNA from 1 species
CUUGGUCAUUUAGAGGAAGUAAAAGUCGUAACAAGGUUUCCGUAGGUGAACCUGCGGAAGGAUCAUUACAGAGUUCAUGCCCUUCGGGGUAGACCUCCCACCCUAUGUAUACAUUGCCUUUGUUGCUUUGGCGGGCCGCCUUUUGGCCACCGGCUCCGGCUGGUGCGCGCCCGCCAGAGAAACCCAAACCCUGUCUUACAGUGUCGUCCGAGUACUAUAUAAUAGUUAAAACUUUCAACAACGGAUCUCUUGGUUCUGGCAUCGAUGAAGAACGCAGCGAAAUGCGAUAAUUAAUGUGAAUUGCAGAAUUUAGUGAAUCAUCGAAUCUUUGAACGCACAUUGCGCCCCUUGGUAUUCCGGGGGGCAUGCCUGUUCGAGCGUCAUUUCAACCCUCAAGCUCUGCUUGGUCUUGGGCCGCGCCGGCAACGGCGGGCCUCAAAAACAGUGGCGGCGCCAUCGUGUCCCUCAGCGUAGUAAUUCUUCUCGCUGUUGGGCCCCGGUGGCCGCUGGCCAGCAACCCCCAAUUUUUCUAUGGUUGACCUCGGAUCAGGUAGGGAUACCCGCUGAACUUAAGCAUAUCAAUAAGCGGAGGAAAAGAAACCAACAGGGAUUGCCUCAGUAACGGCGAGUGAAGCGGCAACAGCUCAAAUUUGAAAUCUGGCUCUUUUAGAGUCCGAGUUGUAAUUUGUAGAAGAUGCUUUGGGUGUGGCUCCGGUCUAAGUUCCUUGGAACAGGACGUCAUAGAGGGUGAGAAUCCCGUAUGUGACUGGCUGCCUCCGCCCGUGUAAAGCUCUUUCGACGAGUCGAGUUGUUUGGGAAU